rnacentral:lncRNA from 1 species
UCUACGCGUUUUGUGUUAGAAUAGCGUUAGCGCAUGUUCAUUUCGUGUUAUAACAUUUACAGAAUCCCUCGGGAUACGUUGGUACCCUCGCCCUAACGGGCUCGUGUACCAACCAAUCCCUCGGGAUUCUGCAGACGUUAUAACACGAAAAAACAUGCGUUAUCCCUACAUUUGUCUCUAAUAAUAAUUUAGGUUUUUCUCAAUCUCAUUUUAAACGUAUAUAAAGCGGAUUCCCUAAUUCACGACCGGAUAAUGUGCCACUGUUCAAAGUAUUUAAUUCGGUAUUCGUUUUGUUGCUUUCCCUUCCGGCAUUAAGUAUAUGUACGGCUCAUCUGGAUUUCUUUUAUUAAUUCUUUACCUUUUAGCACUUUUAUAACAUAUCGUGCUUUUUGAUGUUUUUCUUUUAUUCUAAAAGAAAAAAAUGAAACAUGUCUUCUAAUAGUAUUUACAAGAAGUGCCGCAUGUUAUAUUAUACACCUUCAAUAGUGUUAGAAUAAUAAAUUAUGAAUGGAGACAACAUCGAUAGCUAUUUGACUGCCGGCCAGCAUUCAUACCUACUGUUAGCUUCAGUGCUUUUUAUUGCAAAUUGUUACGUUAAAAAUCUUGACUAGAACGUCUCAAGGGGAAUUUAAUCUUUAAGUUCUAAUAAAAUUUGCUAUCAAAAUUUGUAAACAUAGGGCCACGCACUAAAUAAUUCAUCUUUUGCUGAUGACGUUGCCACAUUUUCGGCAGCUAGUUUUCUUGACCCUUCGCCGAAAUCUGAAGAAAAACGCUUACGAAAUGUUCGCUUUUUUUGCAUAGCUCUUUUUCCGGGACCAUGCACUAUAAACAUUUCUCAUAGUGACGUAAUAACAUUUCCAGCGGCCUGCGUUCUGGAGACAUAACCAAAAUCUAAAGUUACACGUUUUGCAGUGUUAUUCUCUAGUAUUUAUUGAAGCCGCAUGAGUCAAGUGUUCUGCUUUCAAGGUCCAUAAACUCUGUAACGACUAUCGCGUGAUGACGAUAUUGCGUCAAUUUCAGGAGCAUGAACUCGUCAGUCGCAAUCAACAUUUGGAAUAUCAUCAAGAUUAGACUGAAUAAUUCUUUUUCUUGGUCCCACAAAUGCUCAUAUAAGGAUUAUAAGGAUUAUUGAGAGGCGAAAAGAAAAUCAAUACGCGUAAGAUUAUGACAAGUUGACAAAAAUGCUUAAAAGUAUACAUUUGUAUUAAUAAAUUAUGUGGCGGCAUCAGAGGGAAACAUGAAAAAGGACGAUUUAGAAAAAAAGCUAUUGUGACAUGCAAGCGGUCAAAAUAUGAACAACCGUUAAAAUCAGUGGGAUAGAUGCUUUUUCAGAAGCAAAGGAUGAGCUCUUUUAGCGACAAUAUUUAUUCUUUUUGUUUUCAGCAAGCAGACAUGUAUUAAAAUAAUGAACUCGAAACCUUUUUAAUCACAUCUAUUGGGAUAUUAUUAUGUUAACUACUAGUAUUGUAACACUAUUUAUAUGUUUUAGAAUUAUAUUUCGAUGUACUGCGUCUCAGCGAUAUAUGACCUUUUUGUGUCUCUUCACCGUAAAUCCAAACUCCCUCGCUCACAUGUCAAAAGACCAGUAUCUUAUGCUGUCUCUGUGGUACAAUUCAUUAAUUGUAUUAGUACAAUGAUUUUCACGAAGCUGUCACGAAUUGAACUUAAAAGUUAAUUUUGAUUUUUUUUUCUAAAUAUGGAACUUGAUAAUCUUUAAUUAAACAAUAAAGGUCACGAAUUCUGUUCUGAUAGCGACAUAAUAUGUUAAACAGAACAAAAUGACGGGCAACAUUACUGUGUUAUUGUUUUGCCUUGUAAUAAGCGUUCACAUUUUUGUCAGCGAGGUGCAAGGGUCGCAGAAGAAAGGCGUGGCAGCAUGGGGUGAGGACCUUCUAUGCAAUGAUUUCAAGGUUCUAAGUAAUAUUUCAUGGUGGUAUGACUGGAAGAACAAUCUUACACUUUACCAUAGAAAAGUAACAGCAAAUUGUCCAACUCCAGAACACGCAAUGCCAGAGUUUGUGCCGAUGGUUUGGAGAAACUGUCUCAAACCGGAUGUCAUGAGUAAUGUAUCUUUCGUGUUGGCAUUUAACGAGCCAGACCGGCUGGACCAAACAUACAUGACACCACAGCAAGUGGCUGACCCUUGGCCUCAAAUUGAAAAGAACUCCACUUCUUUUCAUAAUUUUCAUUGGUGCAACGAAUUCUUCAGAAUAUGCAAUAGCUGUCGUACAGACUUUGUUGCCGCACAUGCGUAUAGUUGCGAUGCAAGCCAUAAUGUCAUAUUUGCAAAAACUGCACCAUAGAUGCAAGAAGAAGAUUUGGUUGACAGAGGUUGCAUGUACUCAUUCGGCGGACGAGAAUCACCAACUGCAUUUAAUGCAGACUUUACUACCACAGGUGGAAGCUGCGGAUUACGUAUUUAGAUAUUCCUGGUUCAUGGCUAGAGUGAAGCGUGUGUUUGAUAAUGGAUAUAUUCACCCUGCUGCAAGUCUCCUUCGUAACGAAUCCUCAACGCUGACGAAGAUUGGCCAGUUCCUCAAUGAUUGCCAUGGCAACGCCAACGUUCCUCAAGUUGUCGGUUGAUUUAUCGAAUAAAAUGACAAUGUUUGGAAAUUGUAUGC